UUAUGGCAAAGCCUCAGCCACAGUGCUUAGAGCAUCUUUGAUCACCGUGAAUUCUAGACUUGUCCAUGACCUCGUUUUGACAGUGAUGUUGUGGCUGGAGUAGAGGUCUGCCCAUCAAAUGGCUUAGCCUCUGCUUCCUGGCUCUGUUCCUGACUCAGAUGACCUCACCACAUAAUCUCAGUAAGCUCUGAUCAUGGCAACUCCAGGCCAGGUUUAAAGUCACGGUGACCAAGAGGCUAGGCCCAGUGUUAGCUUGGGCUUGUCUAUCAAGCGAUCAUAUGACAAUUGUGUUGAUAACAGCCAGACACGCCAGCCUCAUUGGAAGCACAAAUGCUCUGCCUGUGUGGUAUCUGCAGUGAUCCCUUUCUAAGAGUCACUUGAGUUUUAGAUGGAGAAUACACUCAUAGCUGGAUAUCAGUUGGUGAGGCACUGGCAUUCCACAGUCAGUUGAGUUAAUCCGUUGUAGAGGUCCCAGAGAUAUUUCCACUGCCGCUGUCUUCUCUUCUAAACUGGUCAUCGGAAUAUGAUAAAUCACUCAGGAUUCAACGCCCCAGCACCUGGCAGUGGGUGUUAAUCUGAAGAAGGAGACGAGCACUUAAAGACAAAGAGAACUCCAGAAACCACAGUUGAGGCGCUUGCCUGUAGUUUCUCUGCUCCCUCUGCCUCCUGAUGGUCCCUGGUUCAUCCCCAUGUGGCCCUCAUGGUGCUGUGCCCCCUCCCCUUGGGAACUGUGAGUAACAAACUAUCUUUUUAAUGGCGAUUGUCUCUCGAUCUGUUGG